GAUGAACGCUGGCGGCGUGCCUAAUACAUGCAAGUCGAGCGAACAGACGAGGAGCUUGCUCCUCUGACGUUAGCGGCGGACGGGUGAGUAACACGUGUAUAACCUACCUAUAAGUCUGGUAUCACUUCGGGAAACCGGAUCUAAUACCGGAUAAUAUAUUGAACCACAUGGUUCAAUAGUGAAAUACGGUUUUGCUGUCACUUAUAGAGGGAUCCGCGCCGCAUUAGCUAGUUGUUAAGGUAACGGCUUACCAAGGCAACGAGGCGUAGCCGACCUGAGAGGGUGAUAGGCCACCCUGGAAGUGAGACACGGUCAAGACUCCUACGGGAGGCAGCAGUAGGCAAUCUUACGCAACAGGCGAAAGCAUGACGGAGCAACGCCGCGUGAGUGAUGAAGGCCUUCGGAUCGUAAAACUCUGUUAUUAGGGAAGAACAAAUGUGUCAGUAACUAUGCACGUCUUGACGGUACCUAAUAAGAAAGCAACGGCUAACUACGUG
rnacentral:rRNA from 1 species